rnacentral:rRNA from 1 species
GACGAACGCUGGCGGCGUGCUUAACACAUGCAAGUCGAACGAUGAACCGGUGCUUGCACCGGGGAUUAGUGGCGAACGGGUGAGUAACACGUGAGUAACCUGCCCUGGACUCUGGGAUAACCCCGAGAAAUCGGAGCUAAUACCGGAUAGGACCUUUCACCGCAUGGUGGGGGGUGGUAAGUUUUUCGGUCUGGGAUGGACUCGCGGCCUAUCAGCUUGUUGGAGAGGUAACGGCUCACCAAGGCAUCGACGGGUAGCUGGUCUGAGAGGAUGAUCAGCCACACUGGGACUGAGACACGGCCCAGACUCCUGCGGGAGGCAGCAGUGGGGAAUCUUGCACAAUGGGCGAAAGCCUGAUGCAGCAACGCCGCGUGCGGGAAGAAGGCCCUAGGGUUGUAAACCGCUUUCAGUAGGGAAGAAAAUGACGGUACCUACAGAAGAAGGUGCGGCCAACUACGUGCCAGCAGCCGCGGUGACACGUAGGCACCAAGCGUUAUCCGGAUUUAUUGGGCGUAAAGAGCUCGUAGGCGGUUCGGUAAGUCGGGUGUGAAAACUCUGGGCUCAACCCAGAGAGGCCACCCGAUACUGCUGUGGCUAGAGUGCGGUAGGGGAGCGGGGAAUUCCUGGUGUAGCGGUGAAAUGCGCAGAUAUCAGGAGGAACACCAGCGGCGAAGGCGCCGCUCUGGGCCGUAACUGACGCUGAGGAGCGAAAGCAUGGGUAGCAAACAGGAUUAGAUACCCUGGUAGUCCAUGCCGUAAACG